GACGAACGCUGGCGGCGUGCCUAAUACAUGCAAGUAGAACGCUGAAGGAGGAGCUUGCUCUUCUGGAUGAGUUGCGAACGGGUGAGUAACGCGUAGGUAACCUGCCUGGUAGCGGGGGAUAACUAUUGGAAACGAUAGCUAAUACCGCAUAAGAGUAGAUGUCGCAUGACAUUUGCUUAAAAGGUGCAAUUGCAUCACUACCAGAUGGACCUGCGUUGUAUUAGCUAGUUGGUGAGGUAACGGCUCACCAAGGCAACGAUACAUAGCCGACCUGAGAGGGUGAUCGGCCACACUGGGACUGAGACACGGCCCAGACUCCUACGGGAGGCAGCAGUAGGGAAUCUUCGGCAAUGGACGGAAGUCUGACCGAGCAACGCCGCGUGAGUGAAGAAGGUUUUCGGAUCGUAAAGCUCUGUUGUAAGAGAAGAACGAGUGUGAGAGUGGAAAGUUCACCACU
rnacentral:rRNA from 1 species